CAGGGGAACGGGGGCUGCAGAGUUUUAAUUUUUCUUCUCUCUUUUCUUGGAAGAAUGGCUUGGCAUUUGGAAUUUGGUUGAAUGAAUGAAGCAUUUUAAUUUUCUUUUCAUUCCUCGUUGAUUGAAUUGAGGGCACACGGUAUUUUCCUUUGAGCUGGAACAGCUGCCAAACAUUUCAAUUUUCUUUCUCAGCGUGGAUUCCGUUCAUGUAGAAAGCACAUUUUUCAUUGAAUUUGCACUGCACCCGCUGUCACGUCCUAAGUUUUGGGAAGCACAAGUUUUUUUUUUUUCUUUUUAGUUGACCAUUUCGAUUCAUUGCUAAGUUGGUUGGCAUUUCUUUAGCUUAUUUCUUUUUUAUUGUUAAGUGAAGAGUAGAUUAGGUAGAAGGUGAUGUUGCCAAGUGUGAUGGGACGGUGCUGAUAGCUUAGGUGUGGUUAACUUUGCUUUUAUUUUAUUUCUUUGAAUAUGAAGAAGUGACUUGAUGAAGUGGGUGUACGGUGACAACAUGGGAGGUGUUGAUUUAAUUUGCUUUUGAUGAGAUCAUUUGCCUUUGGGAAAUGGUGCAGCAUUCACGGCUGUUUAGAGAAGAAGUCUAGCUUGUUGCAUUGGGAAGUGUCAUCCGUGCAUAGGUUGAGGAAGAGAAUGUUUUGCUUAUUUUAGUCAUUUAAGAUUGUUCAUGUGACUCACACUUUAGAGAGAAUCACUCUGGCCAGC
rnacentral:lncRNA from 1 species